rnacentral:rRNA from 1 species
GACGAACGCUGGCGGCGUGCUUAACACAUGCAAGUCGAACGGAAAGGCCCUGCUUUUGUGGGGUGCUCGAGUGGCGAACGGGUGAGUAACACGUGAGUAACCUGCCCUUGACUUUGGGAUAACUUCAGGAAACUGGGGCUAAUACCGGAUAAGAGCUCCUGCUGCAUGGUGGGGGUUGGAAAGUUUCGGCGGUUGGGGAUGGACUCGCGGCUUAUCAGCUUGUUGGUGGGGUAGUGGCUUACCAAGGCUUUGACGGGUAGCCGGCCUGAGAGGGUGACCGGCCACAUUGGGACUGAGAUACGGCCCAGACUCCAACGGGAGGCAGCAGUGGGGAAUAUUGCACAAUGGGCGGAAGCCUGAUGCAGCAACGCCGCGUGCGGGAUGACGGCCUUCGGGUUGUAAACCGCUUUCGCCUGUGACGAAGCGUGAGUGACGGUAAUGGGUAAAGAAGCACCGGCUAACUACGUG